AUGGAAUCCCUGGGAGCCCAGGAAGUUCCUGAUGUCCAGCAGGCCCCUGGAGCCCACCAAGCUCUGCUGGGGGAAGGUGGUCAGGGUGGGCCCGGGGUAGAUGACGGAGUAGGGGGGCAAAUAGGGCUUCACGAUGUCCACCACGGUGUCGGGGUACUUGAUGACACAGGUGUCAUUGCAGGUCAUGGCGAAGGGCUCGGGGCACGCCAGGCCCACGGGGAGACAGCGCUCGUGGAAGGGAGACAUGGGGCAGAGCUGGGAAUGAGAGCGAAAAGAGGGGAAAAUGAGCAAAAAAGACAUCCUCGGAUUUUCGCUGUGCCCAUCCAGCUCCUGCUGCCAGGGGAAGCCCUGCUGGAAACCACAACUCCCAACUCAAUCCCUGAUUUUUCAGCUCGGGUUUUAAUCCUCAUUUAAAUCCCAAAUGUGGAGGCUGGAGCUCGCUGCCUCCUCCCACCCGGUUCCAAGUGGAGCAGUGAGAUCCAGGCCGGAGAUCCGCCCAUAUUUUAUGGGUCUCAUUAUGGAUCAGAUGAAUAUUUGGAAUCCCAGAGCACUUUAAGCCCAGCCUGAUAACGAGGCCAGGUUUUUUUUUCUGGGCAUUAAUUACGGAAUAAUUAAUUAAUUUAUACAGGCCGUGCUUGCCCUGGAUUGUGCCCACACGGAUUGGGCAAGGAAGACACGGAGGAAAAAGGGAUGGUUUUCCUCAUUUUCCUCAUUUUACCUCUGUGAAGCUGUUGGGGUAAAAAAUAAGGUCUGGAAGAGGGAGGACUUGAAAUGAUUUCCCAAAUAAGUCCCCACUUCACCCCAGGAAUCCGUGGGGGAGACAAAAUCCAGGGGGGAUUUUUCACGCCUCCACUUGAACAUCUCAUUUUAACCUUCCCAGUCCACAGAGAAUUCUGAGUCUUUUUUUCCCAGCUGAUUCAAGUCCAAUCUCCUUAGACUUGAAGGUGAGGAAAAGGCAAGCACGGAGUAUUUAUUUUUCCAGCUGGAAAGCUGGACCUGGAAUGGCUGAUUUUGGCUUUGGGAAAAAGAAGAUUGGGAUCUUCGAGUGAUUCCACACAAUUUGUAAGAGCUCAUCCCAGAAUUGGAUGUUUCAUCUACAUUUGAAAACAGCUGAGGGUGAGAACAUCGUAGAAAUUAAAUUUUAAAUGAUCAUUUCUUUAAUGACACCGAGUCUUUAGAAUAUGAAAAGAGCACCAGGGAAUUAUUGAGACUCUUUAGGAUUCAGAGGGAGUUUUCUGAGUUCUCCCCUCUGAAGUGCAAAACCUCAAUUAACUCCAAACUAAAGGAUAAUAGAAAGGCUCUUUCUGGAAAAAAAAAACCAACCCCUUGUCCUUUCACACCCUCGCCCUGACAUUUGAUAUUCAGAUAGCAACAAUAAUAAUAAAUAUUAAUAAUAAAAAUAGAUUUAAAAUUCA
rnacentral:lncRNA from 1 species